GGCUAGUCUGAAGGUAGCAAGUUAUCUCAAUUGAUUGUUCAUGGUCAGUUACAGAUUGAACUCUUUGUUUUAUUCUUUUCCCCCUUCUCACUACUGCAUUUGACUAAUCAUAC
ensembl:misc_RNA Y_RNA Y RNA